UGGCCAGUACCCAGAGGAGGGCUGCUGGUGAUGGAACUCCCAUGCUGCGCUACCCUCUCAGCUCUGCUUUUGAUCCCACUCCUGGUCUCACUGAACCUGUUUCCUCAUCACCAAGGCUUUCUGGAGGGUCUGAGCUCCCUAUCUCCUUGGUGACUUGGUAGCUCAGACUGGGAAGAGAGGACCAGCAUUGAACACUUACAUGUUUGUUCCUGGUUUGCAGAUUGAGCAACAAUCUUGCACGAUGAGGAACUUUCCCAGGCCCUGGAAGUGAUAAAACCAAGUUUGGAUCCAAGAAGGUCUCCUGAAGUGCCGCCUACCCACCUUGGAAUGUGUGUAAAGACCUUUGAAAAAAGAAGCAGGACACAAUGAUGUCA